GCGGCUUUAGCUCACUUGGGAGAGCGCCAGACUGAAGUCCACUUCAGAUCAUCAUCUUGAAUAUCUGGAGGCACUGUGUUCGAUCCACAGAAGCCGCA
rnacentral:tRNA from 1 species